rnacentral:miRNA from 1 species
CAUGCAAGGGAACGUGAGCUG